UUGGAGACCUCAAAUCAGGUAGGACUACCCGCUGAACUUAAGCAUA
rnacentral:rRNA from 1 species